GGCUUUUUGAUUAUAAUUUAAGGUCUGACCUGCCCUAUGAAUAAUUUAUUUUUAAAUGGCUGCGGUAUUUUGACCGUACAAAGGUAGCAUAAUAAUUAGUUUCUUAAUUGGGAACUGGAAUGAAUGGUCGAACGAGAAAAAGACUGUCUCAAUUUAAUUUAAAUUAGAAUUUUAUUUUUAAGUAAGAAAGCUUAAAUAUUUUUAAAAGACGAGAAGACCCUAUAGAGUUUUAUAUUAAUUAUUAUAGUUGGAAGUUAAAGAAUUGUAGAUUUGAUUAUAGUUGUUAGUAUUUGGUUGGGGCGAUUAAAAAAUUGAAUGAACUUUUUUUAGAUUAAACCAUUGAUUUAUGAAUAGGUGAUCCAUAUUUAAUGAUUAAAAGAUUAAAUUACCUUAGGGAUAACAGCGUUAUUUUUUUUG
rnacentral:rRNA from 1 species